UGCAGCGACGCCGCGUGAGGGAUGACGGCCUUCGGGUUGUAAACCUCUUUCAGCAGGGAAGAAGCGAAAGUGACGGUACCUGCAGAAGAAGCGCCGGCUAACUACGUGCCAGCAGCCGCGGUAAUACGUAGGGCGCAAGCGUUGUCCGGAAUUAUUGGGCGUAAAGAGCUCGUAGGCGGUUUGUCGCGUCUGCUGUGAAAACCUAAGGCUCAACCUUGGGCUUGCAGUGGGUACGGGCAGACUAGAGUGCGGUAGGGGUGACUGGAAUUCCUGGUGUAGCGGUGGAAUGCGCAGAUAUCAGGAGGAACACCGAUGGCGAAGGCAGGUCACUGGGCCGCAACUGACGCUGAGGAGCGAAAGCAUGGGGAGCGAACAGGAUUAGAUACCCUGGUAGUCCAUGCCGUAAACGUUGGGCACUAGGUGUGGGGCUCAUUCCACGAGUUCCGUGCCGCAGCAAACGCAUUAAGUGCCCCGCCUGGGGAGUACGGCCGCAAGGCUAAAACUCACAGAAAUUGACGGGGGCCCGCACAAGCGGCGGAGCAUGCGGAUUAAUUCGAUGCAACGCGAAGAACCUUACCAAGGCUUGACAUACACCGGACACUUCCAGAGAUGGUUGCCCCGCAAGGUCG
rnacentral:rRNA from 1 species